rnacentral:lncRNA from 1 species
CCUUAAAUACAACAUCACAAUGCUUAUAAACUAAUCCAAAAUAACAGAAAAUUGAACACAAUAGGCUUCAUUCAACGAACACAUCAUAAGGCAAAAAUGUCAUCAAUCUUUAUAACUUUCUUCACAAUGCAAAUCCUUCAAGAAUACCAACUACUCCAUGAAGAACUCGUUUAUGAGGUAGUGAUAUAGUUACUUUACCAAAACAUCCCUAUAAAUAAUUAAACAAAUUGGAAAAAAAUACAUCUUAGUUAGCAAAAGAACAACUUUCCAAUACAUCAAACUCCGAAAGAAAUCUGGAAAAAAAAAGUGAACUUUUCUCCUAGUAAACACGGUUAAGAGUCAAAUGAUUUAUGCUAUAAAAAAAAAUGAUUAUGAGAUCUACAUGUAAAUUCAGGGUUGACUUUCAAUGUAUAUAAGAUCUACUAAUAGCAUUGAUACGGGGCAAUUCAAUCUAAAGUUGCUCAAUAAGAUCUUUGCGGUUUGAAUCAUCCCCUUCAAUAACAUCCUAAAUGAAAAUUAGAUCAAUAAAAUUAUGUCAAUGCACCAUCACACACACACACACAAUAAGAUUGUUAUCAGUCAUCUCUUUCAAUGCACCAUGUUUAACAGAAACAAUGAUUAUGACAAUACUUAGGCUUGCUACAUUUCAAGGCUUAUAUGAUGAUAUGGUAUCAAAGAUUGCUUGCAUACUAUUGCAAGGAAAAAAUAAUGAUUAUGUCUUCAUUGGUUGAGCCAUUAGUUAAAGAAUUAGUUGUACUAAAUCUGCAAAACAGUUAGCUAAGAUUUAGAUCACGGUUUACAAUCUAGACAUGGUUAGUCUAGGUCUGCGCAAGUAAUUAGAUAUGAAAUGAUCACUUGAAAGAAAACCAAUGAGUUUCCUUGCAAAGAAAUCCAAUGAUGCGUGACUGCAACAUCUAAUACAUAGGCUUGAUACAGUUCAGAUCUUCAUCAUGUAGAAGAAGAUCGUGAUCAUCAUGUGGAAGUGCACAUUCCUAUGAAUUUGAUUACAUUUUUUCGGGCAAUGCAUUCCAGACAUAGGGCCGGCUAGUAUGUCAAAAAUGAAGCAAGCAUGAGGCCUUGAACUAUUAAACAUGUGGUCUACUAUAUAAGAGGUGCCUUGCGUAAUUAUCAAGGUUUUGAUCUCGUAUCAUGCUAAUGAAGAACUUCAGACUAAACAUAUGUUAGAGACUAUCAUAUGAUUAGUUCCUUCUUCAGCCAAAAUAUUUUUACCACAGACUUGACACUGUAGUUAUUAAACAUCAAAUUAGAUAACAAUUCAUUUUAAACAAAGUGUUGAACUACUAAUCCUAUCUAACCAGCUACAACUAUAUCAAGUAGUAAAAAAAAAGUCUAUGUAAGGCUUACUCUUUUUUAAGCUCAAUGAAUACAUUUGCAUUUCAAUCACAUGAAUUCCAGAACACAAUAUUUGAACGAUUAGGAGUUCAUCUCAGUAUCUUAUUAUACAUCAAUUGGAAAAACAUAAAGCAAUACCUAAAAUAAUCAUUGUGUUAACUUUUCUUUCAGCUAUUAGUCAUGUAUAAUAAGGCAUUGUCAUUAAAGAGGUCAAAAGAAGAUUGAAAGCUACUGCUACAAUGAUCACAAAUAAAUUCCUAUUUUUUGAGAAGAAAUCGCGCAAAUUUAGUCCAAGAAAAUAGAAUCCAGUAACAUAACACAAUCUUUGUAAAAUAUCAGUUUAAUUAUAUAUAGACUUUGUUACUCCAAAUAAAACAACAAAAAGUAGUUUUUACACAUCAACAAAGGAAUUGGAAGAAUCAAUGACACAAAACUACAACCACAUCGAGAUAAAAUCACACGCACAAAUGCUGAAAAAUAGAAGAAGAAUAAGCACAAUUGAUGUACCCUAAAAAAUGGCAUAUGCAAAUGAAGAUAUAUUUUGUCCAAAUUACAACUAAUAUCAAACAUUGACCCUAUGCAAGCAAAAUUCUAACCUUGAUGAACAAAGUUAGAUAGAAUAUAAACAUGUUCAGUCAAAAAUAUCUUCAACUAAAUGCGUUUGAAAACUAUUGAAAAUCUUUUUUUUCUUCUUUCUAAAAAUACUCACCUAUGCGAUUUGUUUCUGAAUUCAUAAUCAUCAUAUAUCUAUGACCUUGCAUGGCCAAAAAUUUGAACUUCAUUGGGCGGCCACAAAUCCUUCAAAUCAAGAGGCCUAAUGAUACUUCUUUAAGAGGAACAAAUAACUAUUAGAAGGUAAUCUCCAAGAAAAGGAUGAAUUAAGAAAAGACACCUAAAUUGUAAAAAAUAAAAAAAAAUAAAAAAAAAUACUCUUCAACAAUCAUUAUAUAUGAAUUGAAUUAAAAAUUAAUCAACUAAUCUUAAUCACAGCAUUCUGAGAUACAUACAGUUAAGGGACUGUAUAGUUACAAUAAAAAAUAAAAACAAUAAACUAUGAUAUGAACAUCAAAUAAGAUUGGACAACAUUGCUUUUCAACUACAUACCCAAAUCAAUCAACAUUGCACUCAAACUGUAUUGGAAACUAAACAAUACAUAUAAUUGACUACAACAAGGUUUGAGAAAACACUUAUGCAGGAUUUAUAUACUCACUUUGACAUCAAUACCUGCACUGAAUGACAGAAAUUGUAAGGGAAAAAGGACAUAGUUCAUAACAUGUUAACUUUUGAGAAGAGGAAGAAUAAAAAAAAAAACCAAAAGAUAGAUGUUAAUGAAUUAAAAAAGAUUAUUAUUGGUCUUAAAAAAAGAUUGUUAUCACACUUACAUUGAUUGAAUUUUCUAACAAUAACUUACAUAUAUUAAUUUUAGAAACCAAAACUCAAACCUGCAAAAAAUAAACUACAAAAAAAAAAAAAAAAAAAAAAAAAAAAAAAAAAAAAAAACAGAACCUUCAAUUUGAAAAUCCUUAAGUGGGAUAUGAGGGAAUUAGAAAUUCAAAUUUCAAAGAGUUGGAGCUAGAAAAAUUAGGUUUAGGGUUUGGUAAUUAGGGUAAGCAUGUUUGCAACCAUUAGAUAUAAAGGAUUAGCAUCGCACAGUGAUUAUUUUGUAUUUUAUGUCAGGAGGCAAGCAAAUAAGGUAGCUCAUAACUUAGCUAGAGUUUUCUUAUCUCAUCCUAGCCCCUACCUUUUCUAAGAUGUACCUGACUACUUGUCUCCGCUUAUUAUUAUUGAAAUGAACUAACUUGUCUUUGCUCAAAAAAAAAUCAUCUAAAAAUCGUUCAUAAUUUACACGCGUUAACAUAAUAAAAAGAGGAGAAAAACAGACACCUAGCAUGUCAUAAAUAAAGUUCCAUGCUAUUUGUGACACUUUAGUUUUCUCUAUUCAUUCAUAUUAAAAAAAAAAAAAUAGAAAAUAAGUGGGUUGCAUUUAAUUUUAAUAAAAACAUCUUAUAUUACUUUUUUUUCUUUUAAAAAAAAUCUUAUAUUACUUUUUUAUUCACAAAAGACAUCCAGUGGAGGAGAAAGUCUACGAUUCAUUUGUAGUUCUAAAUACAUAUACGGUUUUUUUGUGACUCUUGAAAUUGCAUUUAAACAUUUGGUUCGGAUUAUAAGGUAAAAUUGUUCAAUAUAUGGAUUUCAAAUAUCCAAAGAGACAAAUACUUUUUUGAUAAAAAAAAGUAUUUUUAUUUAGAUAUUGAAAAAUAUUUUUUACUAUUAUUAUAAUUGAAUGUAUUUUACUCAUGAAAGGAUAAGAGAAUCCUAAAAAAAUAUGAAAAGACCUUGAGAUAUAGACAUCAACAAAUAUUCUCGUUUAUUUUGAAGAAAAAAAAUGAAAUUUCAGUUUUUGGAUAAUUUAGGAAAUAAAAAUUAUGAGAAAACUUAAAGUACGACGUUGUCCAACUUUUUUGAGAGGUGGAUAUUGUCGAUAUUGUUUUCACUGUUAUAAAAAAAAAAACUUAAAUUAUAUAAAAUUGAAAAAUUUGUAUUUUAAAAUGUAAUAUCUUUCCUUCAAAAAAAAAUGUAACUAUUUUAAAAAUAAACCAUCUUUUUUAUGAGAGGAACAUUAAUCGCCAUAUCUAAGUUUAAUCCAUAAAAAUAAUAACAAAAUGAUUAAUCCAUAAAAAAAUAUUAAGAGUAAAAUAAGUUUUUAGAAAAAUGUGGGUGGAGGUUAUUUAAGUGUGUAUCAUGUAUCAAAUAAAAGUGUCGUACAAGACUAUAAUAUCUCAUUCAUCUUUCAACGUUUCAACAUUUUGUAACUUCUGUUACACUCAAUUAAAUCCAAAUCUAAAGUUGUUCCUAAUUCCUAUCUUACUAAGCAGUUUUUUCAUCAAAUCAUCAUAAUAAUAUCCACUAAUUGAAAUUCGAUGAAGACGAAAUGAAAUGAAAUCAUACAAAUACAACAAACAAUCAAAUAAAAACACAGUGAAAGACAAUAACUGAUUGAUCAUAUAAAAUAACAAUGCAAUAAUCAAAAGAAGCUUAUAUCAUGAACCAGAAGAGUUGACAUACAUUGUUGUGCUUGAAAUAGCUUGGGAAAAGAACGUGGGAGGAUUCAGGGGGUUCUUUACGAACCUUUUGUUAUUAGAGCUCCAUGAAACGAUCUUCAUUUGUGGUACAAUCAUCCACAUUUAAUAUAUCUUCUGAAGAAACGGCGUCGGACCUCCCUCGCCUCCAUCGGCAGCGACGGCCUAUGUGUUAAUUCAAUCCGUAAAAUGAAUUUUAUUUCUAGAUUUUAAACGAUCUUCUUGCUUGGAUUGGAAGCAAAUGGUUUAUAAUAUAAAAUAUAUUGUGUUUUCA